ACACCUAUCUGUUAACUCCCCCUGCUCUGUGAUCUUUUUCUGUCUGCGGAUGUUAUGACCCUCUCUGCCCGGUCUGCCUGUGGCUUGAUUUUGUGUGGCUGCUAUCUGUGUUGUUUUUGCAGGUACUGGAGGUGGACAUAGUAGUAUCAUGGCGUGGUAGGUUGGUUGUUUGGUUUGGUUGUUGUUUCAGUCAGGGGAGUUUGGUCCUGGAGUUACUUAUGUGUUGACAUGAGUGGGCAGGUGUGACCUAGUGUGGUAAGUUUGGCUUUUGUAGAGUUUCCCCUGUGUAGGCAUAGCAACGUGGUCCUUUUGGGCUUGUUGGUUUUGUUUUUUUUAGUCUGUUAUUUUUGAGUGGUGUGCGGUCAGAGCAAUUGUCUCAGGGACACAUCCAGAGCUGUUAGGUUAGUAACCAGCUUGCUGGGGACUUAAUUGGGCUACUGGGUUGAGUGUUUAAAUAGCCCACUGCUAAUCUGCAUGAAGACUAAAGGCAGUGAGAUAAGUUUGGGAUAGGCAGUCUAGAUAGAGGAGGACUUCCACAUUGGUUUGGGGACAUUGCUGUUGUCUCUUUGUGCACUAGAUGACCUUGGCAACACUGUCUGUUGGUUCAGUUGUGUUUUUUGUUCUGCGGGCUUAUAGACCUAGUCUAUUAUGGCAGGUAUAGAGGAUUUUGUUGCUGCCCCAGGUGAGGAGUUGUUGGAUCGUUGCACUAAAGAUCAGCUUUUGAAAAUUACAGAAGAGUAUGAAAUGGAUCCAAGUGGUCUUGGUGAUAGACAGUAUAAAGAGAAUAUAAAGGAUAUGGUUAAACUGCAUUUGGUUGAGAAACGGGUGCUGGUUGCUAAGCAAGAGGGAUCUGGUCAGUCACAGGCAGCUCAGGCAUUAGCAGGUCCAUCAGGUAGCAGCAGAAGGAAUUGCUUUUAUUACAGUUGUCUCAUGAAAGAGAAACAUUUGGAACUAGAAAGGCAAAGGAUUGAGAUGGAUAAGCAAGUGGCUAUUGAGUGGUUGCGUUGUGAGACAGAGCAGGCAAAGUUAGAGUUGCAUACUGUUAAGUUGGAGUUAGUCAAAGAUGGUAAGCUUUCUGAGGAUGUUCUGCGAGGGGAAGAAAGUUCAUCUUCACCGUCGAGGUCUCCUGAUGUGCGUAAUCUUUGUCUCUUGCCUAAGUUCAAUGAGAGGGAUCCUGAUGUGUUCUUUUCUCUGUAUGAGCGGAUUGCGGAGGCAAGGAGCUGGUCAGACUCUGAGCAGACUUUGCUGCUGCAAUGCAUGUUGUCAGGAAAAGCACAGGAGGCGUAUGCAUCUUUAAAUAGUGGUAAUCUAACUUAUAAAUCAGUUAAGGCUUCUGUACUGAAGGCAUAUAAGUUGGUCCCAGAGGUAUAUCGCCAGCCUUUUAGGACGUGGGGAAAAAAGGGUUGAUCAGUCGCAUAUGAGUUUGCGAGGGAGCUGACUAAUCAUUUCAAUCGUUGGUGUAUGGCUUCAGAUAUUAACAAUUUUGAAAGGUUGUGUGAGUUGGUCAUCUUGGAGCAGUUUAAAAACUCUUUGCCUAGUCGGGUUGCUACAUAUCUGAAUGAGGUUACAACUGUUACUGAGGCUGCAAGAUUAGAAGAUGAGUAUGCACUCAUUCAUAAAAGCCGCACCAAGGAGCCUGGGCGUAAACCUGUGGCACGCAAAGAGGGUGGUGGUAAGUCGCCUGUUAGUCAGGUAAGGGGUCCCGAGCAGCACCUGAGAAAGGCGAGAAUGUGUACAAUUACUGCUGUGAGGCAGGCCAUUGGAAGUCAGACUCCCCAUUGCUCAGGGCUCAGAAGCAGCAUGUUGGAGGAGCUGCUGCACUGGCUGCAAGUGUUGCUGGUCCUGGGGAUGUUGGUGUGUGUUAAGGUGGGCAUAUGGAAUCUAGUGUGACUGACAGCCCCCUGCCUUUUAUCAAAGGAUUUGUGACACAAGUUGGUAGUGACAUGAAGGUGCCUGUUAAGAUUUUGAGAAAUACGGGUGCUGUUAACUCCUAUGUAUGUGAGUCUGUUUUGCCAUUUUCUGAGAAGACUGACAUUAGUGAUAGAAUCCUUAUGUGAGGAAUGGUGUUGAAUGUGUUGCCUGUCCCUAUGCAUAGGAUGAACCUAGAGUGUGAGUUGGUGCAGUGUGAUGUGUCUAUGGGUGUGAGACCAGCGUUGCCAGUGGAAGGGAUUGAUAUAAUUUUGGGCAAUGACUUGGCUGGCAGUCGUGUUUGGGCUAGUGUGUCACCACCUCCAGUAGUCACCCUCUGUCCUUCAGGCUCAGAACAGCCUGAUGGAAGUGCAAAGCGCUUUUCUGAGGUUUUCCCUGCAUGCGUGGUUACACGGGCUGGGUCUAAGGGGGAACAUGGGGAGUUUGAGACUGUCCUGCCAUGUUUACCUGAUGUCCCUUUGUCUGUGUCUAACAGUGAGCUGUGGAGUGAACAGAGAGCUUAUCCAUCAUUGGAGGAGCAGUUCAGGUCUGUGCUGUCAGCCGGUCAGGUGAAAAAUGUGGCCAGUGGCUACUUUCUUCAAGAUGGUAUUUUGGUGAGGAAGUGGGUGCCCAUGGUGAGGAUUUUGUUGGGAUCCAAUUUUUCAAGUGGUCGUUCCAUCUAAGUUUCAUAGCCAUGUGUUGAGACUUGCUCACGAUGAGUCAGGGCAUUUAGGUGUCCGGAAAACACGACUUAAAAAGCAUGUUUCUCUUCACAUUAAGACCUGUAGUACGUGUGAGCCAACUGGUAAGCCAAAUCAGGUCAUUAAACCGGCUCCGUUGCAGCCGAUUCCACUUAUGAGUCAGCCAUUUGAGUACUUAAUAAUCGAUUGUGUGGGGCCGCUGCCCUGUGCGAGGUCUGGUUGCCAGUAUUCGCUGACUGUCAUGUGUCAAAGCACCAGGUACUUGGCAGCUUAUCCUUUGCACGAAAUAACUGCAAGGUCUGUGGUUAAAGCCCUAACACAGUUCAUAUCUGUGAUUGGUAUCCCCAGUCAUCCAGAGUGACCAGGGACCAAGUGUCGAAACUCCUAGGGAUCAGGCAUAACCAGUCGUCAGCUUAUCAUAAACAGAGUCAAGGUGCUUUAGAGCGUGUUCAUCAGACGCUCAAGUCUCUUUUGCAUGCAUAUUGCACAUAGCUUAAUAGAGACUGGGAAGAGGGGCUGCCAUGGUUGCUUUUAGCUGCACGGGAGGUAAUGCAGCAAGGUAAUGUUUAGCCCAAAUGAUUUAGUGUUUGGCCAUACUGUCCAGGGUCCUCUGGCUGUGUUGACGGAUGGGUAGAAGGACUCAGAUCCACCUACCAACCUAACUGACUAUGUGAAUGGGUUUAGGCAUCGGCUAUAUGCUGCAGGUGAGUUGCCAAAACAAACAUUGGCUGUGUCACAAACAAAAAUGAAACGGAGAUGUGAUCACCGCGCUGAGGUGCGUGAGUUUAGUACUGGUGAUCAAGUUUUGGCUCUCUGUCCGUUGGUGAGUUCGCCCUUUCAGGCAAAGUUUUCAGGUCCUUAUUCAGUGGUUAAACAUAUUUCAGACCAAAAUUCUUUGAUUUCAACUCCUGGUUGUAGGAAGCCUGUAAAACUGUUCCAUGUCAAUCUGCUUAAACCCUGUUAUGCUCCCUCCUCUAGUGUGUCCAGUGCUGACCAGCAGGGGGCAAUGCCAGUGAGUCCUGCCCUGGUGACUGGUGCAGUGGGAGCGGUUUCAGGUGAAUGUAUGGAUGAUGCUGCUCCUGAGCGUGAUGAGGGGUUGAAAAAUUCAGAGGCCCUUAAGAAUUUGAAAGGGUUGCUUGGCCAUUUGACAGAAACACAGGCUAUGGAAUUUGAAAAGAUUUUGAACUAUCCAGGUUUGUUUGGUGCUGUGCCCUCCGGCACUGAUUGGGCCGAGCAUGAUAUUGAUGUGGGUGAUGUGCAGCCUAUCCGUCAGCAUUUUUAUAGAGUUUCUCCUGAGAAGCUAGAUACCUAGAUGCUGAGGUCAAGUAUAUGGUUGACAAUGAUAUUGCAGUGCCUUCUUCAUAAAGCUGGGCCUCUCCAUGUUUUUCAUGCCUAAAAGUGACAAGACACCAAGGUUUUGUUCAGAUUUCAGAAAGGUCAACAAGGUCACAAAGCCAGAUUCUUUUCCAUUGCCUCGUAUGGAGGAUUGUGUAGACCAGGUUGGGGCUGCCAAGUAUGUCAGCAAAUUUGAUCUGCUGAAGGGUUACUGGCAGAUGCCUUUGUUAAAAAGAGCACAGGAAGUGGCAGCUUUUAUUACUCCAUCUGGGCUGUAUUCAUAUAAGGUGAUGCCAUUUGGAUUAAGGAGUGCACCGGCCACCUUUCAACAUCUGAUGAAUGGUGUGGUCGCUGGGCUGGCCAGCUGUGCUGUUUAUUUAGAUGAUUUAGUGGUCUACAGUGAUUCUUGGUCUUCUCACAUGCAGCGGGUUAGAGCACUGUUUGACCGGUUAACAGAGGUGACUCUCACAGUGAAUCUUGCAAAGUGUGAACUUGCUUGUGCAACUGUGACGUACCUGGGUCGGGUGGUCGGACAUGGGUGUCUGGCCCCUGUGUGAGCCAAGGUAUUGGCAGUUAAGCAGUUUCCGCAGCCUGCCACUAAGGAGCUCAUGAGAUUUCUUGAGAUAGUGGGGUAAUACCGCUGUUUCUGUAAGAAUUUUUCGACUGUUAUGGCACCACUUACUGACUUGCUGAAGGCCAGAGGUCAAUUUGUAUGUGUUACGACCCUCUCUGCCCAGUCUGCCUGUGGCUUGAUUUUUGUGUGGCUGCUAUCUGUGUUGUUUUUGCAGGCACUGGAGGUGGGUGUGGCAGUAUCAUCAGCAACACUGGCAACACCUGGGGUUCUGUGUGCCAGUGCUCCUUCAAAAACCCUCCUGGAGGGCAGUUGUGGUGUGCUCUCCACCUUUUGGUUUUUGGGUUGACAUUUGACUUGCUUUUUUGCACCAUACAACACUACAGCCACACACUGUUCCACUCAUGCACUCACCUGCACUACUGAUCCCACUGACUACACAUGCCAUUGUUAGGUUAGGUCUCUCUCUGAGGUUAUUUCCUUUUUUUUAAUACAUUGGUUGUCAAUUGGCUUUGUUGUGUGCGUCUCCCUUCCUUGUCAUGGCCGUGCGGACCGGUUUGUGACAGCGGAUGUCUCAUGUUUCACUCUGCAUUGUGUGUUUUGUCAGAGUGAUGGUUAUUUGGGGUUCUUUAACUACAUGCAUCAAUGCACCUUUUUUCUGCGUCUUUUCCGGUCCAUGAUCAUGACGGCUGCGACUGAAAUUGCAAAUGAAAGUUUUGACAGCGUUUUGGGUGCGCAAUUCAGGAGGCUUAUCUCCGCCCAGUUACUGUAGUUAAAUAAAGCGCACCUGCAGAGCAGCCACACCAUACUGAUAUAACAGUCACAUGAGUCUCAUGUUUUACCUGCAAGACUCGUGUUUUAAUGCUGUCGUUCGUAGUUUAUGAUGUGAAAACAUUAGAGAAAUAAAAAACUUGGGUCCUGAUAUUAGUUCAGUUAUAAAAAAUCCAAACGCACCGCGGAGCGUCUCUUCCAAAUAAAAAUGAAAGACUUCGAUGAAAUCACAUCUUUUCUGGGCGACUACGGACUUUUUCAAAUUCUAUUAUUAUUAUUAGUUGUUGAGUUUGAGUGCGAUUCCGUGCGGGUACAUGGGAGUGCUCGUGGUGUUCGUUUCAGGGACACCCGAGCACCGCUGCAAGGUAUCGAUCAACUCCACGCGUAAUGACAUGGAUGUGGAGGCUCCCUUUCACGAGCGGAGCAGCUGCAUCUGACCUGACAGCUGUUCUCGAUACAAACUGGACACUGGAAACUGGACUGCAGGACUGAGCAAUGACACAGAGAAAAGUCUGGAUGGAUGGGUGUUCAGCACUGAGAGAUACACCGCGACCAUUGUGUCUGAGUGGGAUCUGGUGUGUGACAAUGCGUGGAAGGUUCUUUUUUUCCACUUCAUUGCUCUUUGUUGGAGUUCUGUUUGGAUCCUUCAUCAGUGGUCACCUCUCAGACCGGGAGGACGUCCAGCUGACAAAGACCUGAGGUUGUUCUGAGAGCAAAUGGAGGCCCUACACAUUACUAUGGUGUUCCUAAUAAAGUGGUUGGUAAGUGUAUAUAAAGACAGAUGUAGUGAAGUGUGGCAUCAACCAUUGGGUGCCAUCUUUUCUGUUUGGAGCCAGGACCUUCCAAAUAAGGAGUGCAGGGUGUUGCCUUUCAACAUAAGUGAAUGAAACGAGCGCUAUCUUACUGGGAACACUGACCGACCAGAGCACACACAAAGGACAAACCUGUCCACACCACCUCUGUAUUCAAUUCAAAUGUCAGAUCCAGGAUGUAAAAACCUGGAAUUGUCAAGCCACUAGUCACAUUCAAUAAAAUGCAAUCAUCCUCACUUCACCUUCACCUCAUUUAUGAGUGACAGGACAAUAUAAUCCGUAACUAAAUGCUUUU